UUGACAACAAAAACUGCCGAUAACAGUUAACAAUCCUGUAAAAUGUAAUGCCUAGUUCUGAUUACUCAAAGAAGGGGAAUAAACGAAACAACUUGAAAACAUGACACCAAGACAGGAAAGAGACGACAGUGAAUGUAAGAAAUCAGUUUACCUUAGAUAGGUAGAGGAUCAAGUACCAAUCGAAAAUAGUAUUGAGUGCCAAUAACAGUUAACAACCAUGUUAAACGUAAUACCUAAUUCUGAUUAGUUAAACAAGGGGAAAAAACGGAGAACAUGAUAAACACUAAACGAAGAACAGGGAAAGAGAUGACAGCGAAAGUAAGAAAUUAGACUAACAUCGAUGAAAACUUACCGAUUGUAUGUAGCCACCAAACAAACGACGGAUAACGUCUAUGUUGAAAUCGAUCUAAACCAUGAAAAAUCCACAACAAAGUAGAAGAAGAUGAUCGUAGAAGCAAACUGCGGAAAAAUACAACCCAACAACCAAAAAAGAUGAAAACAGAAACCAACUACAACAUAGUCGCUAAUAAAAGACAGAAUCUCCAAGAGUGAAGCACCAUUAGAAACAAAAGGAGAAAAGAUGAUGAAAGGAAAGUGUGAAACAACGACAAUGUCGAAAUGGUCUGGAGGUCGAAGAUGGGACAAAGGUUAAAGGUUACAGAGGAUAGAAGGUUGAGGAUAGUAGAAGGGUUACGAAGGAUGAGGACGGAAGGAGUGCAUGUGAAGCAGGAACAAGAGGUACAAAAAGGUUUAAGGAAGUAGAAGAUAGGAGGAAGAAGACGAUGUCUUCGUUUCAUCGUAGAAAAUGUGAUACAAAAGGGUGGAUUAAAUAACAAGUUAUUAAGAUAGGAUGACAUAAUUGAUUUUGCUUUCUAGGUGGUGCAACAAGUUUCAGUAGGGGUGCUAGGGGAAUUAGUAUUACUAACUAUCUGGGUUUAGAAUUUAAUUAGAUACUUUAAUUAGGUUCGCAUGGUCAGAUGUGCACUCAUAAUAUAAAUAGAUGGAGAUUUCUAAUAAUUCACCACUUCUAAGUUCUAACUCACUCUACAACUAUUUGAGUAUCUCACCUUAUUUAGGGUAAUGAUGAUCACCUGCUUAACUCCCUCAAUGAUGUUCAAACACUCGCGGCAAGGACGCACCAACACAAUGUAGCA
rnacentral:lncRNA from 1 species